rnacentral:ncRNA from 1 species
AGAAAGUUUUAUUCUUGCUUGAAUGUUUGCUUGUUGAAUGAUUUACAUGAAAAUAUAUGUGAGGGAGAAAAAUGUCUUAAAGGUAGUAUUAAUUAAUCUCAGUAUUUAGUAUUAAUAAUCAAGGGAACUUGGAAUUAGUAAUUUAAUAUAAGAUCGGCUAAAUUUGUGCCAGCCGCCGCGGUUAGACUUGGGAUUUAAGUAAAUAGUAUUGGUAUGAAAGUUAACUAUAUGAUAUAUAAAACGUAUAAUUCUCUUUUGAAGGUGGAAUUUUUAGAAGAGUUAUAAGGUUUAUUGGAGUGAAGCUUUGAAAUUUAAAUAAUAAACUAGGAUUAGAUACCCUAUUAUUUUAAACGUAAAUAUAAAAUACCUGGGUAGUAGUAGUUAAGGUCUUGAAACCCAAAGAAUUUGGCGGUGUUUUAGUCUUUUCAGAGGAAUCUGUCCUGUAAUUGAUAAUACACGUUAUAUGUAACUUAGUCUUGUAGAUCAGUUUGUAUACCUCCGUCGUAAGAUUAUCUUUUUAGAGGUUAAAUUUUCGUAAUUUCAGCGAAAAGAAAGGAUGUCAGGUCAAGGUGCAGCUUAUGAUUAAGUAAGAGAUGGAUUACAAUAAAAUUAUUUAUAUGGAUGUUAUGUUGAAAUAUGUAACUGAAAGUGGAUUUGAAAGUAAUGUUGUUAUAUUAUGAUAACAUGAUUAUAGCUCUAGAACAUGUACACAUCGCCCGUCGCUCUCAUUAAUAAGGUGAGAUAAGUCGUAACAAAGUAGAUGUACUGGAAAGUGUAUCUAGAAUGUC